UACGAAGGGGGCUAGCGUUGUUCGGAAUUACUGGGCGUAAAGCGCACGUAGGCGGAUACUUAAGUCAGGGGUGAAAUCCCGGGGCUCAACCCCGGAACUGCCUUUGAUACUGGGUAUCUCGAGUCCGGAAGAGGUGAGUGGAAUUCCGAGUGUAGAGGUGAAAUUCGUAGAUAUUCGGAAGAACACCAGUGGCGAAGGCGACUCGCUGGACAGGUAUUGACGCUGAGGUGCGAAAGCGUGGGGAGCAAACAGG
rnacentral:rRNA from 1 species